UGGCUGAACCCGCUGUGCCACUGCGCCAGGCCCCAUCUCUCCUGGUUUUAAAGUCACAGGAAAUGUACUCUGCAGCUUUGGCCCCUGGCUUUGGAAAAGUUCAGGGCCAGAACUGAGCCCUGCUACGAGUUGUAAGGGGCACCCCGGCGGGGAGGGGGGUGGGUCAGGACCGCAGCCAGCGUGGGUCUCAUUGCUGGCUUCUUAAUUUUGCAGGUGGCCUUGAUGACAGCUGGCAGAGGGGACUGUUGAGCCACAGCUGUGUUUACUUCCCUGGAAACGGGCACCUUUGUGAAGACCAAGUUUGCAGGCAGCAAAACCCAAGGCACCCACUGUGGACUCGUCUUUCACGGAAGUGGAGCGUCUGUCCCAGACACUGGCUUAAGGAAGUACCUGGAAAUUUCGUGGU
rnacentral:lncRNA from 1 species